UUGGAAAUUAACACAAUUGAAUUGAAGAUGUUAAUUGAAUAUUUUCUGACAUGUUGGAAUAAUCCAAUAUUUUUCAACCAAAAGAAAACUAUCUACACAAUUUAAGUGUACAUUUUGUCUUAGCUCAUAUACUUUUUGAAUUUUUGUGACCUUCAAGUACAAUUACUGUUUUGCAUCAUUGUUUAAAAGGUGUUUUGUAUUUUCUUAGGUUAAGCUUUAUAUAAUACUCUUUACACAGUUUUUUUAUAUGUUUUAUGCACUUUGCUUUUUGUCUAUAUUCGUUUGUACACAAUUAUCAUAUUUAUUGGUGUUUUAGUUGUCUUUAUAAAAUGGAUCAAUGUUCAUUUAUAAAUAAAAUGGAUUAGCUUGACUGAAUGAUAUACAAGAGACAAUAUACCAAAUGUAUAGAAUAAAUACAACUAUUGAAGCACUCUUCCUUGAAAGAUGGACAUUUACCUGCAUCAUCUAGAGAGUUUAAGAAACCCUUAAAGUAUUAAUGAUUUUAGAACGAGGCAGAAGAUUCAUAUUAUAAAAUAAAAGUACAUCACAAAUACAACAAUAGGUACAGAUUAAAUUAAGUGGAUGAGGUUACUAUCUCUAUUAUUCUCCCUAUUUAGUGAAAGUCAAUAAAAAAUAUAAUUGAUCAACAUCACACAUUUUCAAAAUAGGCUCUGAUCCAUAACAAAAAUGGUAAAAAUCAAGAUUUUUAUUUCAUGUGGUCAUAUAAUUGUAUAAUUUUAGAAGGGCAGGACAUAAGUUUAAGUGCUUUGUAAAUCACAUGCAUAUAUGUACAGUAAGAUCUGUCCAAAAAUGUGAAAACAUGAAGCCUAUCAAAAUAACACAAAAAUGUUUCAAAAUCUAACAACUGCAGUAAUUAUAAUACAGUUAUUUAUUCCAACUAUACUUAGGUUCAUAACUUUUUUGUAUGCAAUAAAUAUACAUAUCACUAUGAAACAUUCCAGUAUUUGUGCCAUAAAUUAUUUUGUAAAAUUAUAGUUUAUUACCCUAAAUGUUUUAUCCAAUAUGUCUUAUUUGUAUAUAUACAUCAUGUACAUGUAACAUUUUGUUAUUUUUAAUAUUUUGUUAGAUAAUAUAAUCAACUUUUUUUAAUGAAUAAUUUAAUUUUGGAUGUAACACGUCUUCUGAUUGGCUGGAAGUGUUUUGUCUAUCAGCUCAUAGACAUAAUUUUGUCAUGUGACCGUGACGUCACCACCGUUUUUUUCAAAAUUUACUCCUUAAAAACGGAAUUUAGAAUUAAAUUAUAAGGAAUGACUGUAAUAUUUUUUCUGUCUAUUCGAAAUAACCUAAAAAAUGUGGUGCACACUUUCAAAGCGGAUUAUUCAGUGUGCACCCCAUUUUUGUUGAGCCUUCGACUUUUGUCGAAAAAGCGAGACAUAGCGAUCCUACAUUCCGUCGGCGUCGUCGGCGGCGACCACAAAUAUUCACUCUGUGGUUAAAGUUUUUGAAAUUUUAAUAACUUUCUUAAACUAUCCUGCAUUUCUACCAAACUUGGACAGAAGCUUGUUUAUGAUCAUAAGAUAGUAUCCAGAAGUAAAUUUUGUUAAAAAAAAAUUCCUGUUUUUCCGUAUUCUACUUAUAAAGGACUUAGUUUUUCUGCCAGGAAACAUUACAUUCACUCUGUGGUUAAAGUUUUUAAAAUUUUAAUAACUUUCUCAAACUAUCCUGCAUUUCUACCAAACUUGGACAGAAGCUUGUUUAUGAUCAUAAGAUAGUAUCCAGAAGUAAAUUUAAAAAAAAAAAAUUCCUGUUUUUCCGUAUUUUACUUAUAAAUGGACUUAUUUUUCUGCCAGGAAACAUUACAUUCACUCUGUGGUUAAAGUUUUUUAAAUUUUAAUAACUUUCCUAUACUAUCCUGGAUUUGUACCAAACAUGGACAGAAGUUUGUUUAUGAUCAAAAGCUAGUAUCUAGAAAAAAUUUUUAUUAAAAUUUUGUACUUGUUUAUCCAUAUUUUACUUAUAGAUGGACUUAGUUUUUCUUCCAGUUAACAUUACAUACAGUCUGCAGUUAAAUUUUUUAAAAUAUUUAUUAGAUUCAUAAACUAUCCUGGAAUUUUACCAAACUUGGACAGAAGCUUCUUACAAUAAAAAAAUUGUAUCGAGAGGAAUAUUUUAUUUAAUUUUUUCCUCAUCUCAUUUUUGUUGAGCCUGCGAUUAACAGCAAAAUUAGGCGAGACACUGGGUUCCGCGGAACCCUUACAAAUUUUUAAGGUUAUUUCUUCAUAGACAGAAAAAAUAUUACUGUCAUUCCUUAAAUAAAUAAAAAGAAAGGUCUAUCUCAUUUAAUAAGAUAAUUGAUGAGUCAGACUGAAAAUUGUGUUAGCCUUUUACUCUAAUAAUCAAAGUAUUUAUUUAUUUAUUUGUUUUAAAUCAAAUGAAAACUAUGUAUUGUUAUGAAGUUUGUUUACAACACAGGAAAACUGUUUUCUUGUGAGAAAGUGUGUCUUGCAUUGUAACCCUGAAAUUAAUCUAAUAAUGUAAAUGACAAUCAAGCUCCACUUCUUAAAUUUUUCCUAUCCAUGAUUCAUGUAUAACAAAUGCAUAUUAAUUAAAAUGACCUUUUUUAUCUGUAAAUAGUCAGAAGUCGUACAUGUAUAUGUAGUUGUUAAAUUGGCCAUUACUUUCUUGCCAAAAGAUCUAAUCAGAUUGGAUACAGUAAUCGUGGUUAUCCAUUGUUCAAAAUGGAAAAUAUUUUUAUCUAGGUUUGAAAAUAAUGGGGAAAAAAAUAAGCCAAUCACAUAUAUUUGAAAAGAUCAGAUAAAAAUUAGUUUUAAAGCAUUGUUCUUUCAAACUUUGUAAUGUUAAUUCUCGUAGGAAAAUUGUAAAAGAGUAAAAUUCACAUAUAACAGACUUAUGAUAUAUUGAUGGAACAGACUUGCAUGAUGUUUCUGGCAAUUUAAAAAAAAUUGAAAUAAAAAAAUUCAAGAUUUCUUGCAUUGUAUUAGAAUAGAGAUAGCCAUAUUUUAAUUGAGUACUUUGAGGGGUGAAUAAGAUUUUUUUUUACAAUUUCUGUUUUCAUAAUUUUGAGAGAUAAUAAAUUUGUUUUAUCAUAAUAUCUGUUUUAGUUAGAUAAAACUUACCUUUUCAGGAUGUCAUUUACAAUAGUUAUCCUUUAAAUUGAAAGCAAAACUUGGCUGAAGGUUGUUAGAAAUAUAUAUUGUAUUUGAACUGAUUAUAAUUGGAGGUUGUUAGAAAUAUAUAGUAUAUACCGGUAUGAAUUGCAUAUAAUUAAAGGUUAUUAAAAAAAAAAUUCCAUAAGAGUGAAGGUUGUUAGAGAUGUAUAUUGCAUAUGAGUCAGGUUGUUAGAAUUAUAUAGUAAGUACCGGUAUGAAUUGCUUGUGAGUGAAGGUUGUUAGAAAUGUCUAUUGUAUAUAAAUUGGUUAUGAAUGUUAAUGUUUCUACUAUUGUUAUAAAAAAAUCUUGCUGGUAGUUGAAUAAAAUCAAAUAAAAGAAAACUUUUUUCACUUGAAA